AGUAAAAGUCGUAACAAGGUUUCCGUAGGUGAACCUGCGGAAGGAUCAUUAAAGAAUUGCGGCGAAGGGGCCCAGCGCCCCGGAGCCAACGCGUUCUACCCUGUCUUUUUCAUACCCCUACCUCCUCCCCAGCCCUCGGGCUGGGACGGCUACUCUUUAAAAACCUUGCAGUUUACAGUCAAUUCAGUUUUUUUAUAACAAAAUUACAACUUUCAACAAUGGAUCUCUUGGCUCUGGCAUCGAUGAAGAACGCAGCGAAAUGCGAUAAGUAGUGUGAAUUGCAGAAUUCAGCGAAUCAUCGAAUCUUUGAACGCACAUUGCGCCCUUCGGUUAUUCCUUAGGGCAUGCCUGUUCGAGCGUCAUUUCAACCUUCAAGCCCAGCUUGGUGUUGGGCGUUGUCCCGCCUCUUGCGCGCGGACUCGCCCCAAAUUGAUUGGCAGUCGCAUCCACCGAGCCGCGAGCGAAGCACAAGUCGCGCGAGCCGGCGAGGCGGCAAGGACGCUCCACAAGACCCUUUUUUACAAGUCUUGACCUCGGAUCAGGUAGGGAUACCCGCUGAACUUAAGCAUAUCAAUAAGCGGAGGA
rnacentral:rRNA from 1 species